UCACUUUAAGUUAUUUUUAAGUAUUAAUGGUGGGCAAUUUAGUUUCAAAUUUAGGAGGUUAUUUUAAAUUAUUUUAGAUGAAGAUUAGGGGUUACUUUAGUUUAUUUUAUAUAAUGGCAGAGGUGGGUAAUUUAGAUGUAGAUUUAGGGGGUUACUUUAGGUUAUUUUCAUAAUGGCAUAGGUUGGUAAUUUUUUAGAAAAUAUAAUAAUAGAUCCAAUGGUUACGAUGAUUUGAGUCUAUGACCAUAUCUUUUGCUUUUUUGUGAGAAUUUAUAGUAUUUCUCUCUUUUUCUAGAGUGUCCAGCUAAGAUCUUAGCUAGCUUCACCUAGCGGCUUCAAAUGGAGCCUCCAAUAAGAUAACAUAUUGUUACUGAAUUGCUAUUAGUAUUGCGUUUUGGAAUUUUUGGCCAGGUCUACCUUAGAUUCUAAUCCUGCCACUCUAGCUAGUAAGAUCUCAUCAAUGUGAUGACACAUCGAUUUCUCUUUCAACCGGGUCCACUUCAGCUAACCUUGUCAAUUUUUGGUAGCACUCACAGACACACGGUAGACCUAUAUAGCCGUACGACCCGCCGGCCGGGUACGUUCGCACCUCGCGCGCAUGAUGUGUUCUCAACGGCAUCG
rnacentral:lncRNA from 1 species